CAAAAAUUAGAGAGCAAAUUCAAAUCUGAUUAUCAUUAGAGUGAAAAAAUAAUAACUAAAAAAACAAAUUCAACAUUCUUUGUUCAAUUACAAGACUCUGACGUCGACGGCCUCAGCUCAAAGUCGUCGGCCCACCCCCCUCUCCACCUCCCCACACCGCGUUACGCGGUUUUCCCUUUUUUUUUUGCUGUUAUUGAUAAAUAGAACAAUUCUGUCGCAAGAGAUAAUAAACAUCACCAAAUAAAUAGAAUAGAAAGUUCCCACUUUUUCUUUCCAGAGAAGACAGAAGUAGAGCAAAUAACAUGAGAAAGUUCUUAUUAUUCCUUCAAUGCUUGAUUUUUCUCGGACUGCUUCUCAUUCAUCCUUCAUUUGCUCCUAGGAGCGGCCGUGCCAACGAUGAACCGAUACAUCCCCCACCGCCGCCGCGGACAAAAGGCCGAGGUUCACAUCCCUGACCAACAACGGCAGCCGGUUGCCGGUUGGACUGGAGCCUCCAUGCAUGUGCUGUGUGCAUAGGGGGCUUUUGUAACAAAACUAGGAAAUAAUAACUCCGGUUAUUAAUUAAUUAUUACAAGAUGAAUGUGUGCUUGCUAAUGAAAAUUGAUUCAGUUACAAUAAGGAUUCAUGAUUGAAUUGUUGAGAAAUAGCUAAUUAAUUUAUUUUAUUAGUCAAUAUUUAAAUUAAUACAAUUUCUCUUUUUCUUUCAAAUUGACUAAGUAAACACUUCAUUUUCAAAUAGUUAAAAUCAUAUAUAAAAUAACAUUAGUUUUGAUUCAAAAUAAUGAUUCAAGAUUAAAUCAAUUUGAAUUAGUUGAAUAGUUAUUUUACUAAUCUACUUAAGUAAACGUUUAGAAUUUGAAUUUUAUUUUACAUAUACAAUAACCAACCCAUUGAAAAAAGCAAAUAGUAGGAGAUAUCACGAAAAAUUA